ACCAACAUACCAUGUACAUUUCAAUUCAUGGAGGAAAAACAAAAAUACUUUUGAAAAAAAUUGAAACCCUAACUAAUUUCUUCUCAGUAAAUCCCCACAGCUGUCCCUGACCAGAUCACCCACUCUCUUUCACGCCGGCCACCGCACACCGUCGCAUCACUUACUACGAAGAACGGUGAUCCCAUCCGUGGCUCUCACCGCUUCCCAUUCUUAUUUUCCGAAUAACAAUAACACGCAAUAUCCAAACUCUCGCUUUCAUAUUUUCUCUCUCAGGCUUUUGCUCUCACUCUCACUCUCAGGCUCCCAAUUUCAGGAUUUCACGACAUCAGUCAGGAUAUUUGGAUUUUUCCUGUAAACUCACACUCAGUUGUAUCAAGAGAUCAAGAUGUUAUGACAUCUUGCUUAACAUCCUUCAAGCACCAUGAUUUAGUAAAAUUCUGUCAACCCCAAAAACAAGGAACUAGCAGUAUUCUCUACUCUAACUUCUGUUUAUGGAUUUUUAUUUAAUCAAAUUUUUAUGCUAAGUGCGAGUUACCUUAAGGUUGUCGCAUGCUCAAUCCAAAUCUCCAAUCAGGCAGACGGCUGUGUCCUUUGAUGGAAGGUGAUUUCUUCAUAGUUUAGGUGAUGCUUCUCAUAAAUUUGAUAGAAUAGUUUUUAUGACUGUUUUUCUUUUUCUUAUGGCGUUGUACUAUUUUAAGUUGCUGCGAGCAUGCGACAAUAUGGUGUUGGGAUGAUUUUUCAAACUCCGAAGCUGCUUAACUUAUUUUCGUGCACUGUCGAUGUAAUGUGCACAGUAUGUAAUAAUUCAGCAUGAGGUACCCCUGGUAUUAUAUUAAUAUAUGGGUUGAACUA